rnacentral:lncRNA from 1 species
GCAACUUGAUAAUAGUAAUUUCAGUAUUGUUUUGCUAUUGUAAAUUUUAGCUUCUUUUGCCCUGGUGCUUUUGAAACAAAACUGACCAGUUUCUUUGAUUUUUAACUAGAGUGAUCUGUGCAAUACACUCUGUCAAAUGGAAAGAAUUUGCGAUCUCUGCUUUUCAUUCUUGUGAUUUUACAGGUUCUAGAUCUCAAAGAAAUGCACUAGGCAUGAGCAAAGACAUUGGAAUUGAAGGACUUUCAGCCUGUGGAUCGUCUCUUGUAUGAUCUUCCAUGGUUCUCCCCCGAUUAGUUGUUGCGGCUUUGGUGUCCGUCUUUUCCCCAAUUGGAAUUGAAGGAUUUCUGACUUCAUGGUUCCUUGUUGGUGUUUGUCUUUGCCCUUUCUUUUUAUUUCUCAUUUCCUCCAUGUAAGUAAUUUAAUUUCUGCCUUCUUUUUUGGUGUUUGUCUUUGCCAUUUCUUUUUUUAUUUCUCAUUUACAAUAUAUACAUUUUUCUUCAUAUUACUCUUCCUAGUUGCAGCUGUACUUCCCCAUAACCGUUCGAAAACAUUGGUUUUGUUUCUUUGUUUGUUUGAAGGGAAGAGCCUUUGCUUUCCUUGAUCCAUCUUUUAAUGAGCAUUCUGAAUUUCACUUGCAGUUUAGUGAUUUGCUAGUACAUUUUUAAUCAAUUUGCUUCUAAAUUUGUUUCCCUUUUGAAGGCACUGUGUUGUUAUCUUUUAAGAUUUAUCUCUGGUAUUUUCUUUUAUUCGAACGGAUUACACACUUUAUAGGAUUCUGGGAUGCUUUUAUUACUCCCAUGUUGGUAUCUUUUUUUUUUCUUCCUUUAUUCAUGUGAAACCAGGCACACAAUUGCGGUGUCUUUAUAUUCAAGAUUAUGGAAGUAUGGACUGCAAGGACUCAAGUUGUUAACCAAUUUUCAAGCGCUGACAUUCCGAACUUAAGGACAGAAGUAUGCUAAUGAUAGUUUUUCUGUGAGUUCAACAGGGUGGAUAAGUUCUAGACUUCUUGUUACUAAUUUCUUUGAUGAUGUAAGCAAUUCUAUUUUUUAUACUUCAAAUUUACAGUAAAGAGGUUCAUGAUUUCCAGUCUUUUUUUAGUUGUACUUUUGGCUCCAGGUUGCCUAAUUUACUGUGCUCGUCUAGAUCAUUCACUGUCUCUUGUACUAUGUAUUUUCAGCUUUUUGGCUCAGUGUUAAUUGCUUCCCUUUGUGAUGUAUAUCUUAAUGAUUGGUCUAAUUCUUGUUUGAUCCUUUCUUUCAGACUGUGAAUUAACAAUGAUGAAGAAGAAGGCUUUUUUGCAUUAGAGAGAUGUUAAACUGCUCACACUAUGGAUAGCGCAGUGCGUAUGUUGGUUCAAUGUGUGGUCAUCUGUAUGAUAGGCAGUGUGUAUGUUGGUUCAAUUGUGUCUAUAAUCCGUAGAUGGCACGAGGUACUAUACUUGCAAGGUUUUCUUACUAUAAUUUCAAAGUUUUACACCUGCUUGUCAUAGAAUGCAAAUGGGUCCAGUCCAACCCGCGUACAUACAUACCAACUCAUGACUCGGCGCUGCAAAUGGGUGUCUUUGAGACUCGACAAGUUCCGGUCAUAAUGUCACUGUAAUAAUCACACAAUAUGAGUGUAAAUUAUGCGUAAAUACACUAUAAUUGUAGAAGUUCCAGUUCUAAUUUGACUGUAAGUUUUGUGUAUCUAGUCUUUAACUUUUAAGAUAUCACUGUGAGUAGACUGCAAGUUACCAGCAGACUCUAAUGGCAGUCUACUUAUCACUGUGUUUUUCUCCCAAAAGACUGUAAGUAGGCUGUACGUUGAUGCAAGACCUACAGAGGGUACGUUGAUGGAUCAGUAGGCUUUUUCUUGGAUGUGGUAUUGCGAUAGUUGUAGCUCACAUAUGUUUGAAACCGGGUCUAGUUCCAACCCGAUUAGGAUUGGCCUUUCUCCUGAUGACAUACACACAGCGGAGAUGCACAAAAAAGGGACACACAAAUACAUACAAGUGUCGUUCUUUAUUGGUUGGAAAACUUGACUGACGUCCAAUUGAUUUUCAGUCAAACGUCAAAUAUACACUCCCUAUGUCUAACAUAUUCAAAAUUGAGACAGGCAUAUGCACUUGCCUCUUCACACGCCAUACUCUACUUCCAAUUCAGCAGCAAAUGAGAAUCGUUUCUAAAUUUGCUGCACGUCGCCGUGAAAAAUACUACGCGGAACGAAAAAAAACCAGGAAAAAAAAUCAUACUUGGCCGCUGAAGGUCGCGGCGGCGAGCCGGGGCAGGCGUGGCGACGCGGUUGAAGUCCAGCAGUACCCACGGG